UACGGCUAUAUCAUAAUGAAACAUUAGUUUCCGUACGAUCACAGAAGUUAAGCGAGGUCGAGCCUGGUCAGUACCUAGAUGGGGAACUGCUUGGAAAA